CAAUAGCGUAUAUUAAAGUUGUUGCAGUUAAAAAGCUCGUAGUUGGACUUCUGCGGGUGGCGGCCGGUCGUGCUCGAAACGGGCGUGAACUUGGCGUGCUGCCCGCAUCUUUGGGGAGAUUGUGCGUGGCAUUAAGUUGUCGUGCAUGGGAUUCUCAUCAUUUACUGUGAAAAAAUUAGAGUGUUUAAAGCAGGCCUUUGCCUUGAAUACAUUAGCAUGGAAUAAUAAGAUAGGACCGUUGUCUAUUUUGUUGGUUUACAGAUGUCGGUAAUGAUUAAUAGGGAUAGUUGGGGGUAUUCGUAUUCAGUUGUCAGAGGUGAAAUUCUUGGAUUUUCGGAAGACGCACGACUGCGAAAGCAUUUACCAAGGAUGUUUNCAUUA
rnacentral:rRNA from 1 species